AUUGAACGCUGGCGGCAGGCCUAACACAUGCAAGUCGAACGCGUGGCGGACGGGUGAGAAAUGUCUGGGAAACUGCCUGAUGGAGGGGGAUAACUACUGGACACGGUAGCUAAUACCGCAUACCAUCGGAUACGCCCAGAUGGGAUUAGCUAGUGGGUGGGGUAAAGGCUCACCUAGGACACGAUCCCUAGCUGGUCUGAGAGGAUGACCAGCCACACUGGAACUGAGACACGGUCCAGACUCCUACGGGAGGCAGCAGUGGGGAAUAUUGCACAAUGGGCGCAAGCCUGAUGCAGCCAUGCCGCGUGUAUGAAGAAGGCCUUCGGGUUGUAAAGUACUUUCAGCGGGGAGGCGUUACCCGCAGAAGAAGCACCGGCUAACUCCGUGCCAGCAGCCGCGGUAAUUC
rnacentral:rRNA from 1 species